GGAGGCACCCCAGUGAUUGUUGUAUACUAUUUUUCUUUUAGUUGGAUUUGUAAAUAUUGGUAUUUUUGAACAUUUUUUUUUGGUAGCAUCUACUGAGGGAUGCUAGAAGAUUUAGGUAUCUACUGAAGGAUACUAGGAAGGUACACCUACUGAUGGGUGUUGGGAAGGUAUACACUUACUGGCAAGUGCUAGGCAGGUUUUGAUGGAAGAAUAGCUCCGCGAAGUGACUGAACGCGCGAUUCAACUCCGACGAAGCUUCUCCGACGACAAAAGAUGCAGCGAAAUAUUGAUAAACUUGAAACCAAGAGCGAACUCGAAGAAAACCGAGAGAAAAACUCGACACAGAGGAUGAACUCGUUAGAAACCCUAAGUAGAGUAAAAACUCUAAUCUAAACCGAUUAAAGGGAGGAGAAGAAGUUUUAAUCGAUGGAAAGUGGUUUAAAAGGUAGAAAACGGAAAUACAAUCGGCGGAAAUCGAUUUAAACAGUGGGAAAAGGAUUUUGACCGGUGGAAAACCAAAGAAAUGGAAGAUUCUAAGGAGAGAAAGGUGAUUACCGUGAAGAACUCUCGAGAGGAAGCGACAUGCUUCUGGCGUCCUCGAGAAAGAAACCCUAGCAGAGGAAAAAUGAGAUGCGAAUGGAAAUGAAACGCGAAAUGAAGUGUGAUGUGGUUGAUGACUCUGCUGAAACUCUUACGUGCUGAAGAGGUGGCAGGGAAGAAAUGGUUGACGUCGUAUGGUGGCGUCUGGUGAGAGAAAAACACAAUGGAGAAAUGGAAAAAUGAAAAAUAGGAAGUGUGCUUUGGAAGGUGGCUAGAGGUCUUUGGACUCUCUAGCCUAUGACUUUCAAGAGAGAAUAAUUUUCUGAAUUAGAAAAGUUUAUUCUCAUCAAUCUCAAAAGUGAAUAGUACAAGUGAGGAGCUAGGUAUUUAUAGUGACCCAUGCUCCUUGCAAGCUACACU
rnacentral:lncRNA from 1 species